rnacentral:rRNA from 1 species
GACGAACGCUGGCGGCGUGGAUUAGGCAUGCAAGUCGAACGGUAUCAUCCUUUCGGGGGUGAGAGAGUGGCGAACUGGUGAGUAACACGUAGGUUAUCUACCCUCAAGACGGGGACAACCCAGGGAAACUUGGGCUAAUACCGGAUGUGAGCAACUUUUAGUUGUUUGAAAGGUGGCGUAAGCUGUCGCUUGGGGAUGAGCCUGCGUCCUAUUAGUUAGUUGGUGAGGUAACGGCUCACCUAGGCAAUGAUAGGUAGGCGGCCUUAACGGGUGGUCGCCCACACUGGGAUUGAGAUACGGCCCAGACUCCUACGGGAGGCAGCAGUCGAGAAUAGUCUACAAUGGUCGGAAGACUGAUAGUGCGACGCCGCGUGAACGAUGAAUCCCUUCGGGGUGUAAAAGUUCUUUUAUAUGUGAGCAGUGCUUUCUUAUAUUAACAGUAUGGGGAAGAGAUAUUAGCAUAUGAAUAAGCAACGGCUAACUCCGUGCCAGCAGCCGAGGUAAAAA